UUCUGAGGAGAACAUGAGCAGUGAAGAUUCACCUUGGAGCUAGAACAGGGACGUGCACAUGAUUAUACAGGGGCAGGGGCUCAAGAUUUUUCCAGUCAUUUAUACAAUAUGGAAAUUAAUGUGAAAUUAAACCACAAAUAUGUGUGAUGAACUGUUUUUAAAACUUAAACUUCAAAUAAAAAUUGUAAACUUCAAAACAUAUGCAAAUUUUUAACAAAGAACAUAGUAAUUUACCUCUAUUUACAUCAAAAUGCAGGCAAUGGCCCAGGCGUUCUUUGUAAAAUUAUUUACAAAACACUGUAUAGUCUCACAAAUGUCACUUUUUAUUUAUGCCACUACAAAAAAACAUGAUGUAAAUGAUGCAUGAUGUAAAACAUGAUGUAAAAAACUUGUGUAGAUCCUCCUCUAUGUCAGUCCAUGUGUAAUUUUUCCAUAAUUAUUUGUUUUUUGCAGCAUUUUUGUUAGUGUAACUGCAGAUUGUGCUGACAGUGUCUAUGGCACAAAAAAAAAAAAAAUUAAAAUGCCUCAACAUGAACCCCUGGUGGUCUCUGAGGGUGAAACCUGCUAACUGCUGCAGCUCUGUCAGCUUCAGUCUCCCAUGCAGAGCUCUGAGCGCAUGUGUGGCUCUGCACCCUUAGCAGCGUUGCUAACUCCUCAGUAAGGAAAGCCUGCUUCAUGUCAGAGUCUCUAAACUCCAGAAGAAGUCGAUAAAAGUCCCUUUCUUUCUAAAAAAGUCGUUAGGGUGUCUGAAAAGUCAUUGAAUCUAACAACAAAGUCGCUAGGUUUGCAACUACGUGUCCCAGACUGCAUCCCUGCUGAGAGUCCCUCCCUCCCUUCUCAUGUUGCAGGAAGAACGUAAGCGCCCGCCCCUUGUCAAUCAGUCACCAUAUAAUUUUGGAUUGGUUGUUGUGGUGAAGUUUUCCACCAAUAGGAGAGAUGUUGUGGUGUGUUUUUUUUUUCUUUUGGCAAGCCUUUUCCGCCUGUAAGACCUGUCGCUAAUGUCUGCAUGCUAUGUUUUCCUGUCUCAUACAGCGCGAUCGAGCGCCGAACGUGAUCAAAAUAAGCAGAAAAAAAGUAUCGCGGACAUAAUUUAUCAUAACUCUGGUUUUAUUUGGCCUAUCAACACAAUUUAAAAACUGGUAUAUAGGUUGAGGUCCUCACUUUUGAGAUAAGUUGAAACGGAGAGUCAACGAGGCUCCGUCUUGCAGCUACAUCCGGUUAAAUAUGUCAUGUGACUUGAACGCACACAUAGACACACACACACGCACACACACACACACACACACACACACACACACACACACACACACACACACACACACACUCAGAGUCUGGUUUUUAGCACCUGCAAAAACAUGCUAUUUACAUAUUUGACAAGAAUGCAGAGGCUCCUUUUGCCCCUGAAAAAAAUCAAAUUUCAAACACAACUUGACUGGUCAUUUCUCCAAAAGACAACCAUGAAGCUCCAUCCAAACCUGAAGCAGGCAGUUGGUGCAUGUGUACAGUAACCUGAGGGGAGUGAGGUGAGUGCUUCUGAGGAGAACAUGAGCAGUGAAGAUUCACCUUGGAGCUAGAACAGAGACAUGCACAUGAUUAUACAGGGGCAGGGGCUCAAGUUUUUUCCAGUCGUUUAUACAAUAUGGAAAUUAAUGUGAAAUUAAAACACAAAGUAUUAAUAGAAAGGUAAUGACUGUCCUGUGUAGGUGACAGUGAUAUCCAAUAGGCUAGGCACUCACGAGGCUGGCUGUGGCAAGUGUAAGUGAAAGCAACACGCACUGGCAGGAAGAACAGCAAACGCCGAUGAAGGAAAAGGGUCUUUGCAGUGAUGGGCGUUAACAGAGAGGGCGAUGGCCAGAGGACACAAAUGGGACGGGGAGGCAGCACGUUGGGGGGUGGGGGGGUGGGGGGGGGGAGACGCGACACGGCUCGGGCCCGCCAGUGCCCCAACGGGGUCCUAGUUAUUUUUCUGCCCCUUUGAACUGGAAAAUGGCCCACUUCCCACUGGUGAAAACUCAUGAAAUUUGGCAGGACGACCGGGCCUGGUGAAAAAUUCGAUAUUCUGAAGUCAUCCAAACAAUCAAAUGCAAAAUGGCUCCAUAGCGCCCCCUAAGGUGAAAAAUUCACAUGAUUGAGUGUCACGCCUGUACGCUUUGUCAAAAUGACACAAAAUUUGACACACACGUGUAUCUCAAUAAGAUCUACAAAAAAGUCAGUGCGGGCGUAUCUGUCAAAUGUACGGUUAAAGGGCUAUUUCGCAUUUUUUGCCGAUCCACACACAUUGGAAUUUCGCUAACUCCUCCGAAGGCUUUCGUUCCAAAGGCACCACAUUUGCUCAGGCCAAUCUACACCCCAUGGCCAUUAAAAGUUGUACAAAUCAUGACGCUGCACCCCACGGUUUACGUUCUAGGGGGCGCCAAAGAUAACCCAAAAAUCCACAGUCUUAAAAGUCUUAUAACUUUUUAUUUUUGUCCUCACUGGCCUCCAAGUUCUCUAGGAUGAUGCAAUGUCCAGCCAUCAACACAUUUGUGAAGGAAUUUUUACUCGCCAAAGAGCGCCCCCCCAUGGCAGGAGAAAAAAGUCCAUUUUUUCUUGUCUCCUAAGGCGAAAAUUCACACUAUUGAGUGUCACGCCUAUACGCUUUGUCAUAUUGACACAAAAAUUGACACACACAUGUAUCUCAAUAAGAUCUACAAAAAAGUCAGUGCGGGCGUAUCUGUCAAAUGUACGGUUAAAGGGCUAUUUCGCAUUUUUUGCCGAUCCGCACACAUUGGAAUUUCGCUAACUCCUCCGAAGGCUUUCGUUCCAAAGGCACCACAUUUGCUCAGGCCAAUCUACACCCCAUGGCCAUUAAAAGUUGUACAAAUCAUGACGCUGCACCCCACGGUUUACGUUCUAGGGGGCGCCAAAGAUAACCCAAAAAUCCACAGUCUUAAAAGUCUUAUAACUUUUUAUUUUUGUCCUCACUGGCCUCCAAGUUCUCUAGGAUGAUGCAAUGUCCAGCCAUCAACACAUUUGUGAAGGAAUUUUUACUCGCCAAAAGAGCGCCCCCCCAUGGCAGGAGAAAAAAGUCCAUUUUUUCUUGUCUCCUAAGGCGAAAAUACACAUUGUUGACUGUCACGCCUUUACGCUUUGUCAAAAUGACACAAAAUUUGACAAACACAUGUAUCUCAAUAAGAUCUACGAAAAAGUCAAUGUGAGCGUAUCUGUUCAAUGUACGGUUAAAGGGCUAUUUCGCAUUUUUGGCCGAUUCGCACACAUUGGAAUGUGGCUAACUCCUCCUAAAUCUUUUGUCCCAUCGGCUUCAAAUUUGCUCAGGUCAAUCUACACCCCAUGGCCAUUCAAAGUUGUACAAAUCAUGACACUGCACCCCACAGUUUACGUUCUAGGGGGCGCCAAAGAGGACCCAAAUAUCCACAUUUUUAAAAGUCUUAUAACUUUUUAUUUUUGUCCUCACUGGCCUCCAAGUUUUCUAGGAUGAUGCAAUGUCCAGCCAUCAACACAUUUGUGAAGGAAUUUUUUCUCCCCAAAAGAGCGCCCCCCCAUGGCAGGAGAAAAAGUCAAGUUUUCCUGCCCAUCGCUCAAUGGCUCAAACGCAUCGCUCUCUCGGCAAAACCGAAAGGAGGAGCAACUUGCCAUUUGGAUAUAUACUAGCUGUGUUUGUGCCCUCACUUAUGGUCCAGACUUUUUUCAAAAAGGACAUGGAGUUUGUCUGCAGCGAGCGUUUUGGUAGAAACUGCGCCUCCCAUUCAUUAUAAUGGUAAAUGACCACAGACAAGUGCGCACACCAUCUUUGGACCUUGAGUGUGACGCGAUCGGGAGGGGUAGGCGGUCGCGCUGGGGGCGGCACGACACGGCUCGGGCCCGCCAGUGCCCCAACGGGGCCCUAGUUAGGGCCCGAGCGUAGCUGCUAAGCAGCUGCGAGAGCCCUCUUGUUCCUGAUGGAUUCUUCUUUCGUUAUUUUUCCUCCGCUUUAAACUGGAAAAUGGCCCACUUCCCACUGGCGAAAACUCAGGAAAUUUGGCAGGACGACCGGGCCUGGUGAAAAAUUUGAUAUUCUGAAGUCGUCCAAACAAAAAAAUGAAAAAUGGCUCCAUAGCGCCCCCUAUGGUGAAAACUCACCUGAUGCCUGUACGCUUUGUCAAAAUGACACAAAAUUUGACACACAUGUGUAUUUCAAUAAGAUCUACGAAAAAGUCAGUGCGGGCGUAUCUGCCAAAUGUACGGUUAAAGGGCUAUUUCGCUUUUUUUGCCGAUCCGCACACAUUGGAAUUUCGCUAACUCCUCCGAAGGCUUUCGUUCCACCGGCACCACAUUUGCUCAGGCCAAUCUACACCCCAUGGCCAUUAAAAGUUGUACAAAUCAUGAUGCUGCACCCCACGGUUUACUUUCUAGGGGGCGCCAAAGAUAACACAAAAAUCCACAUUCUUAAAAGUCUUAUAACUUUUUAUUUUUGUCCUCACUGGCCUCCAAGUUUUCUAGGAUGAUGCAAUGUCCAGCCAUCAACACAUUUGUGAAGGAAUUUUUACUCCCCAAAAGAGCGCCCCCCCAUGGCAGGAGAAAAAAGUCCAUUUUUUCUUGUCUCCUAAGGUAAAAAUACACAUUGUUGAGUGUCACGCCUAUACACUUUGUCAUAUUGACACACAAUUUGACAAUCACGUGUAUCUCAAUAAGAUCUACAAAAAAGUCAAUAGGCACGUAUCUGUCAAAUGUAUGGUUAAAGGGCUAUUUCGCAUUUUUUGCCGAUUCGCACACAUUGGAAUGUGGCUAUCUCCUCCUAAGGCUUUCGUCCCACCGAUACCAAAUUUGCUCAGGGCAAUCUACACCCCAUGGCCAUUCAAAGUUGUAGAAAUCAUGACGCUGCACCCCACGGUUUACGUUCUAGGGGGCGCCAAAGAUGACCCAAAAAUCCACAUUCUUAAAAGUCAUUUUGGCCACUGCAGGAGUACAGAGUACUGCAGUUCUAGGGGGCGCCAAAGAUGACCCAAAAAUCCACAUUCUUAAAAGUCUUUUUGGCCACUGCAGGAGUACAGAGUACUGCCGGACACACACACAUAUACACACACGCCACACACACACACACACACACACACACACACACACACACACACACACACACACUCAGAGUCUGUUUUUUAGCACCUGCAAAAACAUGCUGUUUACAUAUUUGACAAGAAUGCAGAGGCUUCCUUUUGCCCCUGAAAAAAAUCAAAUUUCAAACACAACUUGACUGUUCAUUUCUCCAAAAGACAACCAUGAAGCUCCAUCCAAACCUGAAGCAGAUAGUUGGUGCAUGUGUACAGUAACCUGAGGAGAGUGAGGUGACUACUUCUGAGGAGAACAUGAGCAGUGAAGAUUCACCUUGGAGCUAGAACAGGGACGUGCACAUGAUUAUACAGGGGCAGGGGCUCAAGUUUUUUCCAGUCAUUUAUACAAUAUGGAAAUUAAUGUGAAAUUAAACCACAAAUAUGUGUGAUGAACUGUUUUUAAAACUUAAACUUCAAAUAAAAAUUGUAAACUUCAAAACAUAUGCAAAUUUUUAACAAAGAACAUAGUAAUUUACCUCUAUUUACAUCAAAAUGCAGGCAAUGGCCCAGGCGUUCUUUGUAAAAUUAUUUACAAAACACUGUAUAGUCUCACAAAUGUCACUUUUUAUUUAUGCCACUACAAAAAAACAUGAUGUAAAUGAUGCAUGAUGUAAAACAUGAUGUAAAAAACUUGUGUAGAUCCUCCUCUAUGUCAGUCCAUGUGUAAUUUUUCCAUAAUUCUUUGUUUUUUGCAGCAUUUUUGUUAGUGUAACUGCAGAUUGUGCUGACAGUGUCUAUGGCAAAAAAAAAAAAAAAACUGAAAAUGCCUCAACAUGAACUCCUGGUGGUCUCUGAGGGUGAAACCUGCUAACUGUGCAGCUCUCUCAGCUCUAGUCUCCCAUGCAGAGCUCGGAGCGCAUGUGUGGCUCUGCACCCUUAGCAGCGUUGCUAACUCCUCAGUAAGGAAAGCCUGCUUCAUGUCAGAGUCUCUAAACUCCAGAAGAAGUCGAUAAAAGUCCCUUUCUUUCUAAAAAAAAGUCGUUAGGGGGUCUGAAAAGUAAUUGAAUCUAACAACAAAGUCGCUAGGUUUGCAACUACGUGUCCCAGACUGCAUCCCUGCUGAGAGUCCCUCCCUCCCUUCUCAUGUUGCAGGAAGAACGUAAGCGCCCGCCCCUUGUCAAUCAGUCACCAUAUAAUUUUGGAUUGGUUGUUGUGGUGAAGUUUUCCACCAAUAGGAGAGAUGUUGUGGUGUGUUUUUUUUUUCUUUUGGCAUGCCUUUUCCGCCUGUAAGAGCUGUCGCUAAUGUCUGCAUGCUAUGUUUUCCUGUCUCAUACAGCGUGAUCGAGCGCCGAACGUGAUCAAAAUAAGCAGAAAAAAAGUAUCGCGGACAUAAUUUAUCAUAACUCUAGUUUUAUUUGGCCUAUCAACACAAUUUAAAAACUGGUAUAUAGUUUGAGGUCCUCACUUUUGAGAUAAGUUGAAACGGAGGGUGAACGAGGCUCCCUCUUGCAGCUACAUCCGGUUAAAUAUGUCAUGUGACUUGAACGCUGGGGAGCGUCAAUCGACUGCAGAGCCAGCAGACAAAGUAGUUAUGCCACUAAGAGGCACACAUUUGUCAUAUGCUAUAAUCCUAACAUAUUUUAAUGCUUUUUCUAUUUAAACCUAAUGGAUCUAAGGUUUGACCUUCAAAAUUUAGGAAGAAUAUUUUUUUGCAGUAAUGACCCCCUUAAACAACCAGAGGUCCUUUCCUAAAGAUUAUGGAAAUUUUAGUGAAGGCCUUGGUUUCUUUCCUUGCAAAAUGUAUAGAAAUAAUAAAGCUAAAUACCAUAAAAUGGUCUUGGCGUAUUAGCAGUGAUAUAAAAUAGUGGUUUGAAUAUGAAUGAACAACAAAAAAAAACAUCAACAGAGCCUUUUUGAGUUGGGAUUCUUUCAUUAUCACACAAAAACAGACAUAGACAGACAUCUAAAGGGUAAGGGAAUGAUCAGCCCUCCUAACUCUCAGAUGAAUCUUCAAAAUUCACCGCAGAAAUAUGCUUAUUAUUCUUCUCAGAGUACUGCAAGAUAUAUACAAACACACACAGACACACACACACACACACACACACACACACACACACACACACUCAGAGUCUGUUUUUUAGCACCUGCAAAAACAUGCUAUUUACAUAUUUGACAAGAAUGCAGAGGCUCCUUUUGCCCCUGAAAAAAAUCAAAUUUCAAACACAACUUGACUGCUCAUUUCUCCAAAAGACAACCAUGAAGCUCCAUCCAAACCUGAAGCAGGCAGUUGGUGCAUGUGUACAGUAACCUGAGGGGAGUGAGGUGACUGCUUCUGAGGAGAACAUGAGCAGUGAAGAUUCACCUUGGAGCUAGAACAGGGACGUGCACAUGAUUAUACAGGGGCAGGGGCUCAAGUUUUUUCCAGUCAUUUAUACAAUAUGGAAAUUAAUGUGAAAUUAAAAAACAAAGUAUUAAUAGAAAGGUAAUGACUGUCCUGUGUAGAUGACAGUGAUAUCCAAUAGGCUAGGCACUCACGAGGCUGGCUGUGGCAAGUGUAAGUGAAAGCAACACGCACUGGCAGGAAGAACAGCAAACGCCGAUGAAGGAAAAGGGUCUUUGCAGUGAUGGGCGUUACCAGAGAGGGCGAUGGCCAGAGGACACGAAUGGGACGGGGAGGCAGCGCGUUGGGGGGGGGGGCGGCGCGACACGGCUCGGGCCCGCCAGUGCCCCAACGGGGCCCUAGUUAGGGCCCGAGCGUAGCUGCUAAGCAGCUGCGAGAGCCCUCUUGUUCCUGUAGUUUCCUUCUUUUGUUAUUAUUAUUAUUAUUAUUAUUUUUCCUCCCCUUUGAACUGGAAAAUGGCCCACUUCCCACUGGCGAAAACUCAUGAAAUUUGGCAGGACGACCGGGCCUGGUGAAAAAUUUGAUAUUCCGAAGUCGCCCAAACCAGAAAAUUCAAAAUGGCUCCAUAGCGCCCCCUAAGGUGAAAAUUCACACUAUUCACUGUCACGCCUGUACGCUUUGUCAAAAUGACACAAAAAUUGACACACACAUGUAUCUCAAUAAGAUCUACAAAAAAGUCAGUGCGGGCGUAUCUGUCAAAUGUACGGUUAAAGGGUUAUUUCGCAUUUUUUGCCGAUCCGCACACAUUGGAAUUUCGCUAACUCCUCCGAAGGCUUUCGUUCCACCGGCACCACAUUUGCUCAGGCCAAUCUACACCCCAUGGCCAUUAAAAGUUAUUCAAAUCAUGACGCUGCACCCCACGGUUUAGGUUCUAGGGGGCGCCAAAGAUAACCCUAAGAUCCACAUAUUUAAAAGUCUUAUAACUUUUUAUUUUUGCCCUCACUGGCCUCCAAGUUUUCUAGGAUGAUGCAAUGUCCAGCCAUCAACACAUUUGUGAAGGAAUUUUUACUCCCCAAAAGAGCGCCCCCCCAUGGCAGGAGAAAAAAGUCCAUUUUUUCUUGUCCCCUAAGGUGAAAAUACACAUUGUUGAGUGUAACACCUGUACGCUUUGGCAAAAUGACACAAAAAUUGACACACACAUGUAUCUCAAUAAGAUCUACGAAAAAGUCAAUGCGCGCGUAUCUGUCAAAUGUACGGUUAAAGGGUUAUUCCGCAUUUUUUGCCGAUCCGCACACAUUGGAAUUUCGCUAACUCCUCCGAAGGCUUUCGUUCCACCGGCACCACAUUUGCUCAGGCCAAUCUACACCCCAUGGCCAUUAAAAGUUAUUCAAAUCAUGACGCUGCACCCCACGGUUUAGGUUCUAGGGGGAGCCAAAGAUAACCGUAAAAUCCACAUAUUUAAAAGUCUUAUAACUUUUUAUUUUUGUCCCCACUGGCCUCCAAGUUUUCUAGGAUGAUGCAAUGUCCAGCCAUCAACACAUUUGUGAAGGAAUUUUUACUCGGCAAAAGAGCGCCCCCCCAUGGCAGGAGAAAAAAGUCAAUUUUUUCUUGUCCACUAAGGUGAAAAUACACAUUGUUGAGUGCUACGCCUGUAUGUUUUGUCGUAUUGACACAAAAUUUUACAUACACGUGUAUUUCAAUAAGAUCUUCGAAAAAGUCAAUGGCCACGUAUCUGUAAAAUGUACGGUUAAAGGGUUAUUUCGCAUUUUUUGCCGAUCCGCACACAUUGGAAUUUCGCUAACUCCUCCGAAGGCUUUCGUUCCACCGGCACCACAUUUGCUCAGGCCAAUCUACACCCCAUGGCCAUUAAAAGUUAUUCAAAUCAUGACGCUGCACCCCACGGUUUAGGUUCUAGGGGGCGCCAAAGAUAACCCUAAGAUCCACAUAUUUAAAAGUCUUAUAACUUUUUAUUUUUGCCCUCACUGGCCUCCAAGUUUUCUAGGAUGAUGCAAUGUCCAGCCAUCAACACAUUUGUGAAGGAAUUUUUACUCCCCAAAAGAGCGCCCCCCCAUGGCAGGAGAAAAAAGUCCAUUUUUUCUUGUCCCCUAAGGUGAAAAUACACAUUGUUGAGUGUAACACCUGUACGCUUUGGCAAAAUGACACAAAAAUUGACACACACAUGUAUCUCAAUAAGAUCUACGAAAAAGUCAAUGCGCGCGUAUCUGUCAAAUGUACGGUUAAAGGGUUAUUCCGCAUUUUUUGCCGAUCCGCACACAUUGGAAUUUCGCUAACUCCUCCGAAGGCUUUCGUUCCACCGGCACCACAUUUGCUCAGGCCAAUCUACACCCCAUGGCCAUUAAAAGUUAUUCAAAUCAUGACGCUGCACCCCACGGUUUAGGUUCUAGGGGGAGCCAAAGAUAACCGUAAAAUCCACAUAUUUAAAAGUCUUAUAACUUUUUAUUUUUGUCCCCACUGGCCUCCAAGUUUUCUAGGAUGAUGCAAUGUCCAGCCAUCAACACAUUUGUGAAGGAAUUUUUACUCGGCAAAAGAGCGCCCCCCCAUGGCAGGAGAAAAAAGUCAAUUUUUUCUUGUCCACUAAGGUGAAAAUACACAUUGUUGAGUGCUACGCCUGUAUGUUUUGUCGUAUUGACACAAAAUUUUACAUACACGUGUAUUUCAAUAAGAUCUUCGAAAAAGUCAAUGGCCACGUAUCUGUAAAAUGUACGGUUAAAGGGUUAUUUCGCAUUUUUUGCAGAUUCGCACACAUUGGAAUUUCGCUAAUUCCUCCGAAGGCUUUCGUUCCACCGGCACCACAUUUGCUCAGGCCAAUCUACACCCCAUGGCCAUUAAAAGUUAUUCAAAUCAUGACGCUGCACCCCACGGUUUAGGUUCUAGGGGGCGCCAAAUAUAACCCUAAAAUCCACAUAUUUAAAAGUCUUAUAACUUUUUAUUUUUGUCCUCACUGGCCUCCAUGUUUUCUAGGAUGAUGCAAUGUCCAGCCAUCAACACAUUUGUGAAGGAGUUUUUUCUCUUUAAAAGAGCGCCCCCCAUGGCAGGAGAAUAAAGUCAAGUUUUUCCUGUUCAUCAUUCAAUGGCUCAAACGCACUGCUCUCUCGGCAAAAGCGAAAGGAGGAGCAACUUGCCAUUUGGAUAUAUCUUAGCUGUGUUUGUGCCCUCACUCAUGGUCCAGACUUUUUUCAAAUAGGACAUGGAGUUUUUCUGCAGCGAGCGUUUUGGUAGAAACUGCGCCUCCCGUUCAUUAUAAUGGUAAAUGACCACAAACAAGUGCGCACACCAUCUUUGGACCUUGAGUGUGACGCGAUCGGGUGGGGGAGGCGGUCGCGCUGGGGGCGGCGUGACACGGCUCGGGCCCGCCAGUGCCCCAACGGGGCCCUAGUUCUUUCUUUCUUUCUUCUUUUUCCUCCCCUUUGAACUGGAAAAUGGCCCACUUCCCACUGGCGAAAACUCAUGAAAUUUGGCAGGACGAUCGGGCCUGGUGAAAAAUUCGAUAUUCUGAAGUCGCCCAAACAAUAAAAUGCAAAAUGGCUCCAUAGCGCCCCCUAAGGUGGAAAUUCACACUAUUGACUGUCACGCCUGUACGCUUUGUCAUAUUGACACAAAAAUUGACACACAUAUGUAUCUCAAUAAGAUCUACAAAAAAGUCAGUGCGGCCGUAUCUGUCAAAAUUACGGUUAAAGGGUUAUUUUGCAUUUUUUGCCGAUCCGCACACAUUGGAAUUUCGCUUACUCCUCCGAAGGCUUUCGUUCCACCGGCACCACAUUUGCUCAGGCCAAUCUACACCCCGUGGCCAUUAAAAGUUAUCAAAAUCAUGACGCUGCACCCCAAGGUUUAGGUUCUAGGGGGCGCCAAAGAUAACACUAAAAUCCACAUAUUUAAAAGUCUUAUAACUUUUUAUUUUUGUCCUCACUGGCCUCCAAGUUUUCUAGGAUGAUGCAAUGUCCAGCCAUCAACACAUUUGUGAAGGAAUUUUUACUCACCAAAAGAGCGCCCCCCCAUGGCAGGAGAAAAAAGUCCAUUUUUUCUUGUCCCCUAAGGUGAAAAUACACAUCGUUGAGAUUCACGCCUAUACGCUUUGUCAAAAUGACACAAAAAUUGACACACACAUGUAACUCAAUAAGAUCUACGAAAAAGUCAACGCGCGCGUAUCUGUCAAAUGUACGGUUAAAGGGUUAUUCCGCAUUUUUUGCCGAUCCGCACACAUUGGAAUGUGGCUAACUCCUCCUAAGGCUUUCGUUCCACCGGCACCACAUUUGCUCAGGCCAAUCUACACCCCAUGGCCAUUAAAAGUUGUACAAAUCAUGACGCUGCACCCCACGGUUUAGGUUCUAGGGGGCGCCAAAGAUAACCCUAAAAUCCACAUAUUUAAAAGUCUUAUAACUUUUUAUUUUUGUCCUCACUGGCCUCCAAGUUUUCUAGGAUGAUGCAAUGUCCAGCCAUCAACACAUUUGUGAAGGAAUUUUUACUCCCCAAAAGAGCGCCCCCCCAUGGCAGGAGAAAAAAGUCAAUUUUUUCUUGUCCCCUAAGGUGAAAAUACAUAUUGUUGAGAUUCACGCCUAUACGCUUUGUCAUAUUGACACAAAAUUUGACAAUCACGUGCCUUGCCUGGUAUCAUUUUUUUCAGCACAACCUCACCUGUGCGAAUUUACAGUUAUUUUAUCAUGUUGACAUACUGAAUUUACACAAUGGACCCAAAUUCACACACAAAACAUAAAAUCCGAGUGGAAAAAAGUAACAUUUUUACUGUGAAAACCACAAAUAUGUGUGAUGAACUGUUUUUAAAACUUAAACUUCAAAUAAAAAUUGUAAACUUCAAAACAUAUGCAAAUUUUUAACAAAGAACAUAGUGAUUUACCUCUAUUUACAUCAAAAUGCAGGCAAUGGCCCAGGCGUUCUUUGUAAAAUUAUUUACAAAACACUGUAAAGUCUCACAAAUGUCACUUUUUAUUUAUGCCACUACAAAAAAACAUGAUGUAAAUGAUGCAUGAUGUAAAACAUGAUGUAAAAAACUUGUGUAGAUCCUCCUCUAUGUCAGUCCAUGUGUAAUUUUUCCAUAAUUCUUUGUUUUUUGCAGCAUUUUUGUUAGUGUAACUGCAGAUUGUGCUGACAGUGUCUAUGGCACAAAAAAAAAAAAAAAAUUAAAAUGCCUCAACAUGAACCCCUGGUGGUCUCUGAGGGUGAAACCUGCUAACUGCUGCAGCUCUGUGAGGUUCAGUUUCCCAUGCAGAGCUCUGAGCGCAUGUGUGGCUCUGCACCCUUAGCAGCGUUGCUAACUCCUCAGUAAGGAAAGCCUGCUUCAUGUCAGAGUCUCUAAACUCCAGAAGAAGUCGAUAAAAGUCCCUUUCUUUCUAAAAAAAAGUCGUUAGGGGGUCUGAAAAGUCAUUGAAUCUAACAACAAAGUCGCUAGGUUUGCAACUACGUGUCCCAGACUGCAUCCCUGCUGAGAGUCCCUCCCUCCCUUCUCAUGUUGCAGGAAGAACGUAAGCGCCCGCCCCUUGUCAAUCAGUCACCAUAUAAUUUUGGAUUGGUUGUUGUGGUCAAGUUUUCCACCAAUAGGAGAGAUGUUGUGUGUUUUUUUUUUCUUUUGGCAAGCCUUUUCCGCCUGUAAGACCUGUCGCUAAUGUCUGCAUGCUAUGUUUUCCUGUCUCAUACAGCGCGAUCGAGCGCCGAACGUGAUCAAAAUAAGCAGAAAAAAAGUAUCGCGGACAUAAUUUAUCAUAACUCUGGUUUUAUUUGGCCUAUCAACACAAUUUAAAAACUGGUAUAUAGGUUGAGGUCCUCACUUUUGAGAUAAGUUGAAACGGAGAGUCAACGAGGCUCCGUCUUGCAGCUACAUCCGGUUAAAUAUGUCAUGUGACUUGAACGCACACACAGACACACACACACGCACACACACACACACACACACACACACACACACACACACACACACACACACACACACACACACUCAGAGUCUGGUUUUUAGCACCUGCAAAAACAUGCUAUUUACAUAUUUGACAAGAAUGCAGAGGCUCCUUUUGCCCCUGAAAAAAAUCAAAUUUCAAACACAACUUGACUGGUCAUUUCUCCAAAAGACAACCAUGAAGCUCCAUCCAAACCUGAAGCAGGCAGUUGGUGCAUGUGUACAGUAACCUGAGGGGAGUGAGGUGAGUGCUUCUGAGGAGAACAUGAGCAGUGAAGAUUCACCUUGGAGCUAGAACAGAGACAUGCACAUGAUUAUACAGGGGCAGGGGCUCAAGUUUUUUCCAGUCGUUUAUACAAUAUGAAAAUUAAUGUGAAAUUAAAACACAAAGUAUUAAUAGAAAGGUAAUGACUGUCCUGUGUAGGUGACAGUGAUAUCCAAUAGGCUAGGCACUCACGAGGCUGGCUGUGGCAAGUGUAAGUGAAAGCAACACGCACUGGCAGGAAGAACAGCAAACGCCGAUGAAGGAAAAGGGUCUUUGCAGUGAUGGGCGUUACCAGAGAGGGCGAUGGCCAGAGGACACGAAUGGGACGGGGAGGCAGCGCGUUGGGGGGGGGGGGGGUGCGACACGGCUCGGGCCCGCCAGUGCCCCAACGGGGUCCUAGUGUUAUUAUUAGGGCCCGAGCGUAGCUGCUAAGCAGCUGCGAGAGCCCUAUUAUUCCCCAAGUGGUUUUUUAGGGCCCGAGCGUAGCUGCUAAGCAGCUGCGAGAGCCCUAUUAUUCCCCAAGUGGUUUUUCUUUGUUUCUUUCUUUCUUUAGGGCCCGAGCGUAGCUGCUAAGCAGCUGCGAGAGCCCUAUUAUUCCCCAAGUGGUUUUUCUUUGUUUCUUUUUUCUUUUUCCUCCCCUUUGAACUGGAAAAUGGCCCACUUCCCACUGGCGAAAACUCAUGAAAUUUGGCAGGACGACCGGGCCUGGUGAAAAAUUUGAUAUUCCGAAGUCGCCCAAACAAUAAAAUGCAAAAUGGCUCCAUAGCGCCCCCUAAGGUGAAAAUUCACAUGACGGCUGUACGCUUUGUCAUAUUGACACAAAAUUUGACACACACAUGUAUCUCAAUAAGAUCUACAAAAAAGUCAGUGCGGGCGUAUCUGUCAAAUGUACGGUUAAUGGGUUAUUUUGCAUUUUUUGCAGAUCUGCACACAUUGGAAUUUCGCUAACUCCUCCGAAGGCUUUCGUUCCACCGGCACCACAUUUGCUCAGGCCAAUCUACACCCCAUGGCCAUUAAAAGUUAUUCAAAUCAUGACGCUGCACCCCACGGUUUAGGUUCUAGGGGGCGCCAAAAAUAACCCUAAAAUCCACAUAUUUAAAAGUCUUAUAACUUUUUAUUUUUGUCCUCACUGGCCUCCAAGUUUUCUAGGAUGAUGCAAUGUCCAGCCAUCAACACAUUUGUGAAGGAAUUUUUACUCCCCAAAAGAGCGCCCCCCCAUGGCAGGAGAAAAAAGUCCAUUUUUUCUUGUCCCCUAAGGUGAAAAUACAUAUUGUUGAGAUUCACGCCUAUACGCUUUGUCAUAUUGACACAAGAUUUGACAAUCACGUGCCUUGCCUGGUAUCAUUUUUUUCAGCACAACCUCACCUGUGCGAAUUUACAGUUAUUUUAUCAUGUUGACAUACUGAAUUUACACAAUGGACCCAAAUUCACACACAAAACAUAAAAUCCGAGUGGAAAAAAGUAACAUUUUUACUGUGAAAACCACAAAUAUGUGUGAUGAACUGUUUUUAAAACUUAAACUUCAAAUAAAAAUUGUAAACUUCAAAACAUAUGCAAAUUUUUAACAAAGAACAUAGUGAUUUACCUCUAUUUACAUCAAAAUGCAGGCAAUGGCCCAGGCGUUCUUUGUAAAAUUAUUUACAAAACACUGUAUAGUCUCACAAAUGUCACUUUUUAUUUAUGCCACUACAAAAAAACAUGAUGUAAAUGAUGCAUGAUGUAAAACAUGAUGUAAAAAACUUGUGUAGAUCCUCCUCUAUGUCAGUCCAUGUGUAAUUUUUCCAUAAUUCUUUGUUUUUUGCAGCAUUUUUGUUAGUGUAACUGCAGAUUGUGCUGACAGUGUCUAUGGCACAAAAAAAAAAAAAAAUUUAAAAUGCCUCAACAUGAACCACUGGUGGUCUAUUAGGGUGAAACCUGCUAACUGCUGCAGCUCUGUCAGCUUCAGUCUCCCAUGCAGAGCUCUGAGCGCAUGUGUGGCUCUGCACCCUUAGCAGCGUUGCUAACUCCUCAGUAAGGAAAGCCUGCUUCAUGUCAGAGUCUCUAAACUCCAGAAGAAGUCGAUAAAAGUCCCUUUCUUUCUAAAAAAAGUCGUUAGGGGGUCUGAAAAGUCAUUGAAUCUAACAACAAAGUCGCUAGGUUUGCAACUACGUGUCCCAGACUGCAUCCCUGCUGAGAGUCCCUCCCUCGCUUCUCAUGUUGCAGGAAGAACGUAAGCGCCCGCCCCUUGUCAAUCAGUCACCAUAUAAUUUUGGAUUGGUUGUUGUGGUGAAGUUUUCCACCAAUAGGAGAGAUGUUGUGGUGUGUUUUUUUUUUCUUUUGGCAAGCCUUUUCCGCCUGUAAGACCUGUCGCUAAUGUCUGCAUGCUAUGUCUUCCUGUCUCAUACAGCGCGAUCGAGCGCCGAACGUGAUCAAAAUAAGCAGAAAAAAAGUAUCGCGGACAUAAUUUAUCAUAACUCUGGUUUUAUUUGGCCUAUCAACACAAUUUAAAAACUGGUAUAUAGGUUGAGGUCCUCACUUUUGAGAUAAGUUGAAACGGAGAGUCAACGAGGCUCCGUCUUGCAGCUACAUCCGGUUAAAUAUGUCAUGUGACUUGAACGCACACACAGACACACACACACGCACACACACACACACACACACACACACUCAGAGUCUGGUUUUUAGCACCUGCAAAAACAUGCUAUUUACAUAUUUGACAAGAAUGCAGAGGCUCCUUUUGCCCCUGAAAAAAAUCAAAUUUCAAACACAACUUGACUGGUCAUUUCUCCAAAAGACAACCAUGAAGCUCCAUCCAAACCUGAAGCAGGUAGUUGGUGCAUGUGCACAGUAACCUGAGGGGAGUGAGGUGAGUGCUUCUGAGGAGAACAUGAGCUGUGAAGAUUCACCUUGGAGCUAGAACAGAGACAUGCACAUGAUUAUACAGGGGCAGGGGCUCAAGUUUUUUCCAGUCGUUUAUACAAUAUGGAAAUUAAUGUGAAAUUAAAACACAAAGUAUUAAUAGAAAGGUAAUGACUGUCCUGUGUAGGUGACAGUGAUAUCCAAUAGGCUAGGCACUCACGAGGCUGGCUGUGGCAAGUGUAAGUGAAAGCAACACGCACUGGCAAGAAGAACAGCAAACGCCGAUGAAGGAAAAGGGUCUUUGCAGUGAUGGGCGUUACCAGAGAGGGCGAUGGCCAGAGGACACAAAUGGGACGGGGAGGCAGCACGUUUGGGGGGGGGACGCGACACGGCUCGGGCCCGCCAGUGCCCCAACGGGGUCCUAGUUAGGGCCCGAGCGUAGCUGCUAAGCAGCUGCGAGAGCCCUCUUGUUCCUGUAGUUUCCUUCUUUUGUUAGGGCCCGAGCCAGCUGCAGAGCAGCCGGGCGUAGGCCCUAUUAUUCCCCAAGUGGUUUUUCUUUGUUUCUUUCUUUCUUUCUUUAGGGCCCGAGCCAGCUGCAGAGCAGCCGGGCGUAGGCCCUGUUAUUCCUGUAGGGGUUUUUCUUUGUUAGGGCCCGAGCGUAGCUGCUAAGCAGCUGCGAGAGCCCUAUUAUUCCCCAAGUGGUUUUUCUUUGUUUCUUUCUUUCUUUCUUUCUUUCUUUCUUCUUUUUCCUCCCCUUUGAACUGGAAAAUGGCCCACUUCCCACUGGCGAAAACUCAUGAAAUUUGGCAGGACGACCGGGCCUGGUGAAAAAUUCGAUAUUCUGAAGUCACCCAAACAAUAAAAUGCAAAAUGGCUCCAUAGCGCCCCCUAAGGUGGAAAUUCACACUAUUGACUGUCACGCCUGUACGCUUUGUCAUAUUGACACAAAAAUUGACACACAUAUGUAUCUCAAUAAGAUCUACAAAAAAGUCAGUGCGGCCGUAUCUGUCAAAAUUACGGUUAAAGGGUUAUUUUGCAUUUUUUGCCGAUCCGCACACAUUGGAAUUUCGCUAACUCCUCCGAAGGCUUUCGUUCCACCGGCACCACAUUUGCUCAGGCCAAUCUACACCCCGUGGCCAUUAAAAGUUAUCAAAAUCAUGACGCUGCACCCCAAGGUUUAGGUUCUAGGGGGCGCCAAAGAUAACACUAAAAUCCACAUAUUUAAAAGUCUUAUAACUUUUUAUUUUUGUCCUCACUGGCCUCCAAGUUUUCUAGGAUGAUGCAAUGUCCAGCCAUCAACACAUUUGUGAAGGAAUUUUUACUCCCCAAAAGAGCGCCCCCCCAUGGCAGGAGAAAAAAGUCCAUUUUUUCUUGUCCCCUAAGGUGAAAAUACACAUUGUUGAGUGUCACGCCUAUACGCUUUGUCAUAUUGACACAAAAAUUGACACACAUAUGUAUCUCAAUAAGAUCUACAAAAAAGUCAGUGCGGCCGUAUCUGUCAAAAUUACGGUUAAAGGGUUAUUUUGCAUUUUUUGCCGAUCCGCACACAUUGGAAUUUCGCUAACUCCUCCGAAGGCUUUCGUUCCACCGGCACCACAUUUGCUCAGGCCAAUCUACACCCCGUGGCCAUUAAAAGUUAUCAAAAUCAUGACGCUGCACCCCAAGGUUUAGGUUCUAGGGGGCGCCAAAGAUAACACUAAAAUCCACAUAUUUAAAAGUCUUAUAACUUUUUAUUUUUGUCCUCACUGGCCUCCAAGUUUUCUAGGAUGAUGCAAUGUCCAGCCAUCAACACAUUUGUGAAGGAAUUUUUACUCCCCAAAAGAGCGCCCCCCCAUGGCAGGAGAAAAAAGUCCAUUUUUUCUUGUCCCCUAAGGUGAAAAUACACAUUGUUGAGUGUCACGCCUAUACGCUUUGUCAUAUUGACACAAAAUUUGACAAUCACGUGCCUUGCCUGGUAUCAUUUUUUUUCAGCACAAUCUCACCUGUGCGAAUUUACAGUUAUUUUAUCAUGUUGACAUACUGAAUUUACACAAUGGACCCAAAUUCACACACAAAACAUAAAAUCCGAGUGGAAAAAUGUAACAUUUUUACUGUGAAAACCACAAAUAUGUGUGAUGAACUGUUUUUAAAACUUAAACUUCAAAUAAAAAUUGUAAACUUCAAAACAUAUGCAAAUUUUUAACAAAGAACAUAGUGAUUUACCUCUAUUUACAUCAAAAUGCAGGCAAUGGCCCAGGCGUUCUUUGUAAAAUUAUUUACAAAACACUGUAUAGUUUCACAAAUGUCACUUUUUAUUUAUGCCACUACAAAAAAACAUGAUGUAAAUGAUGCAUGAUGUAAAACAUGAUGUAAAAAACUUGUGUAGAUCCUCCUCUAUGUCAGUCCAUGUGUAAUUUUUCCAUAAUUCUUUGUUUUUUGCAGCAUUUUUGUUAGUGUAACUGCAGAUUGUGCUGACAGUGUCUAUGGCACAAAAAAAAAAAAAAAUUUAAAAUGCCUCAACAUGAACCACUGGUGGUCUAUUAGGGUGAAACCUGCUAACUGCUGCAGCUCUGUCAGCUUCAGUCUCCCAUGCAGAGCUCUGAGCGCAUGUGUGGCUCUGCACCCUUAGCAGCGUUGCUAACUCCUCAGUAAGGAAAGCCUGCUUCAUGUCAGAGUCUCUGAACUCCAGAAGAAGUCGAUAAAAGUCCCUUUCUUUCUAAAAAAAAGUCGUUAGGGGGUCUGAAAAGUCAUUGAAUCUAACAACAAAGUCGCUAGGUUUGCAACUACGUGUCCCAGACUGCAUCCCUGCUGAGAGUCCCUCCCUCCCUUCUCAUGUUGCAGGAAGAACGUAAGCGCCCGCCCCUUGUCAAUCAGUCACCAUAUAAUUUUGGAUUGGUUGUUGUGGUGAAGUUUUCCACCAAUAGGAGAGAUGUUGUGGUGUGUUUUUUUUUUCUUUUGGCAAGCCUUUUCCGCCUUUAAGACCUGUCGCUAAUGUCUGCAUGCUAUGUUUUCCUGUCUCAUACAGUGCGAUCGAGCGCCGAACGUGAUCAAAAUAAGCAGAAAAAAAGUAUCGCGGACAUAAUUUAUCAUAACUCUGGUUUUAUUUGGCCUAUCAACACAAUUUAAAAACUGGUAUAUAGGUUGAGGUCCUCACUUUUGAGAUAAGUUGAAACGGAGAGUCAACGAGGCUCCGUCUUGCAGCUACAUCCGGUUAAAUAUGUCAUGUGACUUUAACGCACACACAGACACACACACACGCACACACACACACACACACACACACACACACACACACACACACACACACACACACACACACUCAGAGUCUGGUUUUUAGCACCUGCAAAAACAUGCUAUUUACAUAUUUGACAAGAAUGCAGAGGCUCCUUUUGCCCCUGAAAAAAAUCAAAUUUCAAACACAACUUGACUGGUCAUUUCUCCAAAAGACAACCAUGAAGCUCCAUCCAAACCUGAAGCAGGCAGUUGGUGCAUGUGUACAGUAACCUGAGGGGAGUGAGGUGAGUGCUUCUGAGGAGAACAUGAGCAGUGAAGAUUCACCUUGGAGCUAGAACAGAGACAUGCACAUGAUUAUACAGGGGCAGGGGCUCAAGUUUUUUCCGGGUCGUUUAUACAAUAUGGAAAUUAAUGUGAAAUUAAAACACAAAGUAUUAAUAGAAAGGUAAUGACUGUCCUGUGUAGGUGACAGUGAUAUCCAAUAGGCUAGGCACUCACGAGGCUGGCUGUGGUAAGUGUAAGUGAAAGCAACACGCACUGGCAAGAAGAACAGCAAACGCCGAUGAAGGAAAAGGGUCUUUGCAGUGAUGGGCGUUACCAGAGAGGGCGAUGGCCAGAGGACACAAAUGGGACAGGGAGGCAGCACGUUGGGAGGGGGACGCGACACGGCUCGGGCCCGCCAGUGCCCCAACGGGGUCCUAGUUUCUUUCUUUCUUCUUUUUCCUCCCCUUUGAACUGGAAAAUGGCCCACUUCCCACUGGCGAAAACUCAGGAAAUUUGGCAGGACGACCGGGCCUGGUGAAAAAUUUGAUAUUCCGAAGUCGCCCAAACAAGAAAAUGCAAAAUGGCUCCAUAGCGCCCCCUAAGGUGAAAAUUCACACUAUUGACUGUCACGCCUGUACGCUUUGUCAAAAUGACACAAAAAUUGACACACACAUGUAUCUCAAUAAGAUCUACAAAAAAGUCAGUGCGGGCGUAUCUGUCAAAUGUACGGUUAAAGGGUUAUUUCGCAUUUUUUGCCGAUCCGCACACAUUGGAAUUUCGCUAACUCCUCCGAAGGCUUUCGUUCCACCGGCACCACAUUUGCUCAGGCCAAUCUACACCCCGUGGCCAUUAAAAGUUAUCAAAAUCAUGACGCUGCACCCCAAGGUUUAGGUUCUAGGGGGCGCCAAAGAUAACACUAAAAUCCACAUAUUUAAAAGUCUUAUAACUUUUUAUUUUUGUCCUCACUGGCCUCCAAGUUUUCUAGGAUGAUGCAAUGUCCAGCCAUCAACACAUUUGUGAAGGAAUUUUUACUCCCCAAAAGAGCGCCCCCCCAUGGCAGGAGAAAAAAGUCCAUUUUUUCUUGUCCCCUAAGGUGAAAAUACACAUUGUUGAGUGUCACGCCUAUACGCUUUGUCAAAAUGACACAAAAAUUGACACACACAUGUAACUCAAUAAGAUCUACGAAAAAGUCAAUGCGCGCGUAUCUGUCAAAUGUACGGUUAAAGGGUUAUUCCGCAUUUUUUGCCGAUUCGCACACAUUGGAAUUUCGCUAACUCCUCCGAAGGCUUUCGUUCCACCGGCACCACAUUUGCUCAGGCCAAUCUACACCCCAUGGCCAUUAAAAGUUAUUCAAAUCAUGACGCUGCACCCCACGGUUUACGUUCUAGGGGGCGCCAAAGAUAACCCAAAAAUCCACAUUUUUAAAAGUCUUAUAACUUUUUAUUUUUGUCCUCACUGGCCUCCAAGUUUUCUAGGAUGAUGCAAUGUCCAGCCAUCAACACAUUUGUGAAGGAAUUUUUACUCCCCAAAAGAG